rnacentral:rRNA from 1 species
UACGUAGGGGGCGAGCGUUGCUCGGAAUUACUGGGCGUAAAGGGUGUGUAGGUGGCUGAUCAAGUCAAAGAUGAAAUCCCGAGGCUCAACUUCGGAAUUGUCUUUGAAACUGGUCGGCUUGAGGCUGGUUGAGGAGAGCGGAAUUCCCGGUGGAGCGGUGAAAUGCGUAGAUAUCGGGAGGAACACCUGAGGCGUAGGCGGUUCUCUAAACCUGUCCUGACACUGAGACACGAAAGCUAGGGGAGCAAACGGG